UCACUGAGACUGAGGGGGAGGAGCAGGGAAGGAUAGAAUGCCGACAGCACAGUGGUUCUAGUUCGGCAAAGUAGAACCAAGAGAGAGUUCUCAGAAUCAGGUGGUCACAGGCAGAAGAAUGCACAUUUAUGGGGGCUGUGGGGAGACAGACUCUGCAGGCGAGGGUGCUGGCGCUUCUGAGAAGUCCCGAAAGGUUCCAAGAACGAGCCGUUCCAUAAUUCACGCUGACUCAUUAGCGUCUCAGCCGAGUCCUCCCUUGCAAGUAAAUUGAGUGUUUGCCUCUGCAAGCCUGGGUUCGUUAUCCUCCAAACAUCACCUUCUGGAAGGACACCAGCCUCUUCUGACGUCGCCAGCCUGCCCGGAGGCAGCUUGGCUAAUCUGCUAUUCUUCGGGUGGCAGAUUCACUCCUGGCCUGGGUGUUCCGACGCCACCGCUGGCACCAAGAAGUGGGGGAGGAGGGAUGACGUCGUUAAGCCCCGUGAGGUGAAAGGAGAAUUUAUUCCCAGGGACUUUGGGGCUCACCUUGAUUUAGUGAGGUGACCCACUUGGCCGGACAGCUCCAGCGGUCAACACCCCUUCGCUUCCAGCACUGUUUGACUGGAAGAUAGUGCCGUGGAUGAAGUUAUGGCUUUCACGGGUUGUACGUGAUGUGAUCAAAAUACAGA
rnacentral:lncRNA from 1 species